rnacentral:misc_RNA from 1 species
AACGCAUCUUGCACUCCUUGGUAUUCCGAGGAGUAUGCCUGUUUGAGUGUCAUGAACAUUUCAACCUCCUUCCUUUGCUUAAAAAGAAAGGCGGCUUUUGGAUCUCUGGGGGGUUGCUGGUUUUGUUUUUAUCAGCUCCUCUGAAAAACAUUAGCAAAGUUGCUUCUGGUGAAAAUUUUCCUCCGGUAUGAUAAUUUAUCUAUACCAUCGGAAUCUCCAGACUUUCUUAUUGAAAGGACUUUGCUUCCAAUGGUCUUGUAGACAUUUCAUUUUCAGCUUUGACCUCAAAUCAGGUAGGACUACCCGCUGAACUUAA